rnacentral:tRNA from 1 species
GCGUAAAUGGUUUAGUGGUAAAAUUCAUCGUUGCCAUCGAUGAGUCCCUGGUUCGAUUCCGGGUUUGCGCA